AUUGAACGCUGGCGGCAUGCUUUACACAUGCAAGUCGAACGGUAACAGGCCGCAAGGUGCUGACGAGUGGCGAACGGGUGAGUAAUGCAUCGGAACGUGCCCAGUCGUGGGGGAUAACGCAGCGAAAGCUGCGCUAAUACCGCAUACGAUCUAUGGAUGAAAGCGGGGGACCGUAAGGCCUCGCGCGAUUGGAGCGGCCGAUGUCAGAUUAGGUAGUUGGGGGGGUAAAGGCUCACCAAGCCAACGAUCUGUAGCUGGUCUGAGAGGACGACCAGCCACACUGGAACUGAGACACGGACCAGACUCCUACGGGAGGCAGCAGUGGGGAAUUUUGGACAAGGGGCGCAAGCGUGAUCCAGCAAUGCCGCGUGCAGGAAGAAGGCCUUCGGGUUGUAAACUGAUUUUGUACGGAACGAAACGGUACUGUUUAAUACCCGGGGCUAAUGACGGUACCGUAAGAAUAAGCACCGGCUAACUACGUGCCAGCCGCCGCUGUAAAAC
rnacentral:rRNA from 1 species